rnacentral:rRNA from 1 species
UACGUAGGGCGCAAGCGUUGUCCGGAAUUAUUGGGCGUAAAGAGCUCGUAGGCGGUUUGUCGCGUCUGCUGUGAAAAACUCGAGGCUCAACCUCGGGCUUGCAGUGGGUACGGGGCAGACUAGAGUGCGGUAGGGGUGACUGGAAUUCCUGGUGUAGCGGUGGAAUGCGCAGAUAUCAGGAGGAACACCGAUGGCGAAGGCAGGUCACUGGGCCGCAACUGACGCUGGAGGAGCGAAAGCAUGGGGAGCGAACAGG